GGGAUAGCUCAGUUGGUAGAGCAGAGGACUGAAAAUCCUCG
rnacentral:tRNA from 1 species